UACGUAGGGCGCAAGCGUUAUCCGGAAUUAUUGGGCGUAAAGAGCUCGUAGGCGGUUUGUCGCGUCUGCCGUGAAAGUCCGGGGCUCAACUCCGGAUCUGCGGUGGGUACGGGCAGACUAGAGUGAUGUAGGGGAGACUGGAAUUCCUGGUGUAGCGGUGAAAUGCGUAGAUAUCAGGAGGAACACCGAUGGCGAAGGCAGGUCUCUGGGCAUUAACUGACGCUGAGGAGCGAAAGCAUGGGGAGCGAACAGG
rnacentral:rRNA from 1 species